rnacentral:snRNA from 1 species
GUGUUUGCUUCGGCAGCACAUAUACUAAAAUUAGAACAAUAUAGAGAAGAUUAGCAUGGCCCCUGUGCAAGGAAGACAGGCAAAUUCAUGAAGCGUUCCUUAUUUUU